rnacentral:tRNA from 1 species
GUUUGGUUGGCUCAGUUGGUAGAGCAUGAGGCUCUUGGUCUCAGGAUUGUGAAUUUGAGUCCCACACUAGGUG